GUAUCAAGUCAGCUUUGUAGCACAUCAAGACUGAUACGACACUUUUGUUUUUCAUGAUAAACAACAUAAUGGGGCAUACAAAAUCUUCCCCUCAAUACAUUAACAAAAAUGAUAUUUUAACCUUGUCAAAUUGAGCCAAAACUAGAUGCGCUGUGUUUAGAUCCUCCCCUUGGUCCACAUCAUCAAAAUCGUCGUCAUCAUUUUCGUUCAAGGGCUCAUCAUCAUCAUCAACAUCAUCAUUCUGAAGGACGGGAGCAGGAGUAGGCGCUUGCAUAUCUAAAGGGUGUAAAGAAGAGAUUGCAGCAGCAUCAGAAGGAGGAUAAGUUAUAGCCAUAAAGACUAUGUAGCUGAGAAAAUUACCAUUUGGUGCUGGUGUGUUGACUAUAUUAUAGUCUUCAUUG
rnacentral:lncRNA from 1 species